GUGAGCAGGCUUUGACAGACAGACAUUAACCGUUGCCUGGCACAGGGAAAGCUGCAGACCAGAAGAUGCCACCUGCAGGUGCUGCGGCUUUGCAGAUCGGAUACAAAGUCAACUGGGGGAGGAGAGAGUAAUGGCAGAACACACUGAUUGCAACAGUUUCUUCAGGGAAAACUGACACAGAGUUACAAACAGAACCGGAGGGAGGGAAUGACUCCACCUUUAAAGGGCCUGCCAAGAAAACAGGAGGGCUUGAGCACCGGGCAAGCUGCAGACAGCAGCGGACCAGCGGAGGAUGCUAAAGUUAAGCCUGCCUCCUACUUGCCUGGCCCCACCCCAUCUGCAGAUGGCAGGUCCCUCAACCCCCCAGCACGGAAUCAUCACAGACCGGCCGGGGACCAUCUGGAGAGCUGCACUGUCUGCAAAUCGGACUGUUUAUAAGCUCAAGGCCUUUUGUGACUUUAAUAAUAAAGGGGGGGAGGGACAAUGUCGCAAGCCUCAAUGAUUACGGUGCCCGGGCACCGUCCCUGACGAGGGAUUAGAUAAGACGUCUUAUCUGGGAGACACCCAAGGAAAAGGUCCCUCCACCAGAUAACACCCCGGCUGUCGAAAUGCCCUUUCAAAGCUGGACUGCAGAUAAGGAGCCGUGACAGCGGAUGGAGGAGGAGAGAAACUUCCUGCGCUGAGGAGCAUUGAGUCUGCUGCCCAAGACCAAACAAUAAGCAGAGCAGACGC